GACAGAGGGUGCAAACGUUGUUCGGAAUUACUGGGCGUAAAGCGUGUGUAGGCGGUCUCAAAAGUCGGAUGUGAAAGCCCCGGGCUCAACCCGGGAAGUGCAUUCGAAACUGCGAGGCUAGAGUAUCGGAGAGGUUGGUGGAAUUCUCGGUGUAGAGGUGAAAUUCGUAGAUAUCGAGAGGAACACCGGUGGCGAAGGCGGCCAACUGGACGAAUACUGACGCUGAGACACGAAAGCGUGGGGAGCAAACAGG
rnacentral:rRNA from 1 species